AUCCAAAUGGCAGAAACCAUUACGGAGGCACACACAGCCAUGUUGAAAGCAAGGUUUCAACCCUUGAAGAACGUCCGGAUCUUGUCAAUGCAGCACUAACAUACUAUAUGGAGGGAAUGAUAGAGAUGCCUCUUAAACAUGUUGUUACUGCCAUUACCGUCUUCAUCAGAUGAGCUGUCUUCAUGGUCACCUGCUCUCUAUCUGUUCACCCUGAGUCUGUAUUCAAUAGAUCUGGUCCACAUUUCAUCUCUGCCUCUUGUGAUCUUGAAUCUGGGAUCCAGGGCUGUGUGCUCCUCCAAGAACUGCCUGAUAUUCUCAUCCUGCAAGACAAUAACAACGUGAGUGCCUGAAUAAUCCUAAUGAAAACAAGCGAGAACACAAUAGGUUUACACUGACCUGCUACAGAACUGGUAUCUUCUCGAUAGUGUCCUUGAUGGUCUUUGUGAAGGAGGAGUCCUCAUCAUUAACUGUGAAGUGGUGCUGGAGUUUAUUCAAGAUCAGAAUCUGACCCAAGGUUGGGCUCCUUUCAGCAGAGACGCAGAGGGUUUAAGUGUAAAGUAUCUUUGUAACUUUGACAGACUGUUCUGCUUUUCUGAAGUCCUCAUCAGAAUCUCUCUGCAGUCUGAAAAAUAUCAUCAGUUUCAUUAGCUGGGCUAUAGUUUUAUAAGAACAAUGGUUCAGACUGAAAAUGCUGAAAAUGGUUUAAGCGAAUCACAAAAUUCUUUACCUGUCCUUCUCCAUUGCUUUCUGAAGCCAAGGGUCCAUGGAGGCGGCCUGGAUGGCAAGGAACUGCUCCACCAAGAGGAACAUGCUAUUCCACCUUGUUCUCACAUCCAGGAAGCCCUAGAGUGCGAAAGAGAUGUGUGUGUGUGUGUG